rnacentral:lncRNA from 10 species
UUUGCCUGGGCCAUGUCCGGUAACAUAUUGCUGGACCUAGAAACUAGGUGAUGUGACUCUCCUCUACUGCUUAGGCUCUGGCAAAAAAAAAAAAAAAAAAAAUUGUGGUGUAUUGCUGGGCCAGUACCUAGGUAAUGUGACAUUUUUCUAUUGCCUGGGCCCUGUGUAUUCUGGGUAUUCUGACAUAUCGCUGGGCCCAACAUGUAGGGAAUGGGAGUACCACCUGGGCCCUGCUCACAUGGGGCCUUGUGACAUAUCUCUUUAUCCAUCACCUAGGAAAUGUGUCUCUCCUCUUCUGCCUGCACCUUGCCAACAGAGAAAAUUGUGACAUAUUACUGAGCCUAGCAACCAGGUGAUGUGUCUCUCCUGCCUGGGCCUGGCUGACAGAAAGCAGUGUGAUAUAUUCCCGGGCCCAGCAAACAGUCCACAGGUGGGUUAUUGACACUCAGACCAAGAUUCAGUACACCUGAAAGACUGUGACUCCACUAAGAAAACAGUCUGUGAGAGGAAUUGAGGCUCUCGUCCAUGGAUCUAGUCCACUGUUGAGAUUGUGAAUCAUGUACUUAGGCCCAACAUAAAAGAGGUGUUGAUUCUCAUACCUGGAACCUGGACAUGUGCAGGAUUGUUAAUCUCAUUUAUGAACAUUCCUGCAGCUGUGAUUGUGACAUAUGCCUCUGCCCAGCACCUGAGUGAUUGAAUUCUUCUGCCUGGGCUCAGCCCACAGAUUGGAUUGUGAAACAUUGCUGAACCCAGGACCUAACUAAUGUAAAUCUAUUCUCCUGCCUUGGCACUGCCCACUGGGAACCCUGUGACAUAUUGCUGCACCCAACACCCAGGUUAUGUGGCUCUCCUGCCAGUGCCUUGCCCACACGGGCUGUUGUGACAUAUUGCUGGGUCCACACCCAGGUGAUAUAAUUCUCUUGCCUAGGCCCUGCUUACAGAGAGCAUUGUGACAUAUCUUUCUGCUCAUCACACAGUUAAUAAGACAGUUUCUGCCUGGUUUCUCCUUACAGGGUGUAUCAAAACAGAUUGCUAGGCCCAGCACCUAGCUGAUGUGACUCUUUCUAGGUUUUGCCCACAAGGAACAUUGUGACAUAUCACUGGGCCCAACAGCAAGGUGAUGUUGCCCUUUUGCUUUGGCCUUGCUCUCAGAAAGCAUUGUGACAUAUUGCUGAACCCAGCACCAAGGUGAUGUGAGUUGGUAUGCCUGGACCCUGCUAACAAGAGGCAUUGUGACAUACUUCUGGGACCAUCAUCUAUUUGAUGUGACUCUCCUUUUACCUGGGCUUCUGUUGUAAAAGAGAUUGUGACAUAACUCUGGGCCUAACAGCUAGACUUGUCUGCAGCGCAGAUUGCUACAUAUUGCUUGGCCCAGCUCCUAUGUGAUGUGACUCUCCUGUCAUACCUGAGUGCUCCCCACUGCGAUGGGCAACAGACCAACUUCAGCUUGCAACCCUCUGGAGUGCAUUCUGUAACACUGGAACUUCUUUAACCUCCGGACUUUGAAGAAGAAAGCAACCAUUUUCUUUUGCACAAGGGCAUGACAUUUAUACUACACCUUUGCAGGUAGUGUAAGAUCAACCCAGCUUUUUAAAAAGUCAUAUCAGGCAGGCUUAUAGAAAAUGAUUCACCAGAAUUAGAAAAGCAAGUUCCAGGGAAGCCAUUUGAGAAUCCCCCUUAUUUAGAGCCAUCUCAAGUUCUCUUAUUACAAGACCUUAGCCAAAUAAAGGAAGACUUAGGCUGAUUUUCUGACAACCCCCAAUAGGUAUAUAGAAGCUUUCCAAAAUUUGACUCAGGUGUUUCACCUCACAUAGAAGGAUGUUGUGCUGCUCCUAAACCAAACCCUAACUGCAGCUGAAAAGCAGGCAGCUCUACAGGCAGCAGAGAAUUGCAGAAAUGAACAAUAUGUCGCCUAUAAUGCACCAAAAUUUAAAAAGGAGAAAGUGAAGAAAUAACAGAAACACCAUUCCCAAUAGGAAGGGAAGCAGUUCCUCUUUACAACCCUGGUUGGAACUCCAAUAGCUCUGCAGAUAAAUGGAAAAAAAAAAAAACACUUUAAUAUGCAUAUUAGAGGGUUUAUGAAUAGGGACAAAUCUCUUACUCUAAACUGUCCAUGAGGACAAAUCUCUUACUCUAAACUGUCCAUGAUAGACCAAAUGCCAGAAAAGAGUCUUGCAGCCUUUAUGAAAAGGCAGAGAGAGGCACUAAUAGAGCAUAUCUCCUUUUCUUCUGAUCCAAUCAACAAAUAGUGCAUUCUAAAGGACAGGUUUAUUACGCACGAAGCUCUCGAUAUUUUUUUUUUUUUUUUUUUUUUUGAGACGGAGUCUCGCUCUGUGGCUCAGGCUGGAGUGCAGUGGUGCGAUCUCAGCUCACUGCAAGCUCUGCCUCGGGAUUCACGCCAUUCUCCUGCCUCAGCCUCCCGAGUAGCUGGGACUACAGGCGCCCGCCACUGCACCCAGCUAAUUUUUUGUAUUUUUAGUAGAGACAGGGUUUCACCAUGGUCUCCAUCUCCUGACCUCGUGAUCCGCCCGCCUCGGCCUCCCAAAGUGCUGGGAUUACAGGCGUGAGCCACCGCGCCAGGCCAAGCUCUUGAUAUUAAAAAAGAAACUACAAAAGCAGGCUAUAGAAUCAGAUAGCACCUUAGAGAACCUCCUGAAGGUAGCCACUUCAGCCUUUUAUAAUAGGGACCAGGAGAAAACCCAAGAGAAAGCGAGGAAACUCAGGAGAAGGACAAAGGCUCUAGUAGUUGCUUUGCAAGCCUGCAAUGUCCAGGAUUUCCAAGGUUCAUCUGCUCAUUGCUAUCAGUCUGGCAAGUCAGGGUACUUUAAGAAGCAGUGCCCAAGCAUCAAGAAGAAGCCACCUCAACCCUCUGCAGGCUGUGGCAGAGACACUAGAGAGCAAACUGCCCCCAGAGAUGAGGUCACUAGAUUCAGAACCAGUCUCACAGAUCGUUUGGCAGGAAUAAUGGGUCCUAGGGACCCAACCCCCAGCUCCAGCAGCUCAAACUGCCAUUAUAGCCUAGGAUCCCAAGGUGAUUCUGGAAAUUAAAAGAAGGAAGAUAAUCAUCCUUCUAAACAAUAGAGCCAGUCUCCCUCUUUUCUGUUCUCUAAUUCAGGUCUCCCCUCUUCCUGUAGCCACUGCCAUGGUGGCUCUACUACUUAGAAAAGUCUCCAAAUUAACCCUGGAAAUUAUAAUCAUAAUUCUCUUUAAUUAUACUAGAGAAUUUAACUUACACCCCACACAACAUGACACAAUUACUGUCCUCUAGGGGGACCUCUUAGGUAACAAAUAGCCAGUAAAGCAAAAAAUACAUAAGGCAAGAUACUCAGUAGUCACUCUAAACAACGUUAUUAAAAGUGUGUCUCUCUCCCCAGCACAAACGCUCAAUUAGCUGAACUGAUAGCUCUUACAAGAGGACUUGAAUUAAACAAAGGAAAGGUAGCUAACAUUUACACAGACUAAAAGUAUGCUUUCUUGGUUCUUCAUGCUCAUGCUGCCAUUUGGAAGAAAAUACAUUUUCUUACCGCUAAUGGAUCUCUUUUAAAGUAUCACCAGAAAAUUAUUCUCCGUUUUUCUUCCAUGAAAAAUAGCAAUGAUGCAUUGUAAGGGACAUCAAAAGGGAACAGAUGAAGUAGCCGAAGGAAAUACGUUAGCUAAUCAGGCAAUUAAGUCAGCAGCAAGGAAGCCUUGAGGCAUCAACACACUUCAAGCCCCUCUAACCUGGGAAGGCUCCAUAAGAGAAAUUAAGCCUCAGUACUCCCCUGCAGAAAUAGAAUGGGCCACUUUUCGAGGGUAUAUUUUUAGACCUCAGGAUGGCUACAAUCAGAGGAUGGCAAACUCCAUUCGCCAGCCUUCAGCCAAAGGAAAAUCCUUAGAAUCUUUCACCAAGUUUUUCACUUAAGAAAGGAUAAAACUUAUCACUAUGCCCAGAGAUUGUUUUCAGAAGAGAACUUACUAAAAACAGUCAAAUAGGUUGUUAAUUCCUGUGAAGUCUGUCUUAAAAAUAAUCCACUGAACAGGUGGCUCCUUCCUCCUAAAACCCAAAAAAUAAGAAGCUAUCCAGGGGGAGGACUGGCUGAUAGACUUCACCCGCAUGCCAAAGACAAAGGGUAUCCAAUACCUUCUGUUUUGGGUAUAUACUUUUACUAACUGGGUGGAAGCAUUUCCAUGCCAUACAGAAAAGACCUCUGAGGUAAUAAAAGUGUUAAUUAAUAAAAUAACUCCAGCCAGGCGCGGUGGCUCAGGCCUGUAGUCCCAGCACUUUGGGAGGCCGAGGCGAGCGGAUCACGAGUUCAGGAGUUCGAGACCAGCCUGGCCAACAUGGUGAAACUUCGUCACUACUAAAAAUACAAAAAAAUUAGGCAUGGUGGUGCACACCUGUAAUCCUAGCUAUUCAGGAGGCUGAGGCAGGAGAAUUGCUUGAACCUGGGAGGCGGAGGUUGCAGUGAGCUGAGAUCAUGCCACUGCACUCCAGCCUGGGUGACAAAGCGAGACUCUGUUUCAGAAAAAGAUAAACAAACAAAAAAAACCCCUGCUUUGGUCUACCUAAAUACCUUCAAAGUGACAAUGGCCCCUCAUUUAAGGCAGCUGUCACAUGGGAGUCUCAAAUGUGCUAGGCACAGAAUAUGGUCUCCAUUGUGCUUAAAAAUCCCAAUUCUCAGUAAAGGUAUAGAACAAAUGAUAUUAUCAAGAGACACCUUAAAAAACUUGUCACUCUUCUUCCCAUGGCCUUACUAUGGGUAAGAAAUAUGCCUUCCAAGUUAGGUGUAACCUGGGUGCGGUGGCUCAGGCCUGUAAUCCUAGCACUUUGGGAGGCCGAGGCUGGUGGAUCACAAGGUCAGGAGAUCAAGACCAUCCUGGCUAAUACGUUGAAACCCCAUCUCUACUAAAAAUAUAAAAACAAAAUAAGCUGGGUGUGGUGGCGGGCGCCUGUAGUCCCAGUUACUAGGGAGGCUGAGGUGGGAGAAUGGCAUGAACCCAGGAGGCAGAACUUACAGUGAACCGAGAUCGCGGCACUGCACUCCAGCCUGGGAGACAGAGUGGGACUCUGUCUCAAACAAACAAACAAAAACAAAGUUAGGUCUAAGCUCUAUAAAUGGCCUUUUCUUACCAACGAUUUUUCUAUUAAAGCAGAAAACCUAAUUUGGUUAAGUAUGUAACCUCUCUAGCUCACUUCCAACAAAAAUUAACACAACUAGCAGUAGCCCAACCCUAAGAAAUAAGACCACCUUCAUUUAACCCAGGAGAUUUGCUAUCAGUAAAUCUCAUGCCUCUCUCUCUCUUUCCCUAAGCCCAAGCUGGGAAGGGCCCUACACUGUUUUUUUUCAACCCCCUCUUCCCUUGGCAAUAAAAGUUACAGGUAUUUGCUGGGCGUGGUGGCUUAUGACUGUAAUCCCAGCACUUUGGGAGGCCAAGGUGGGCGGAUCACCUGAGGCCAGGAGUUUGAGACAAGCCUGGCCAACAUGGUGAAACCUCAUCUCUACUAAAAAUACAAAAAUUAGCUGGGCUGCAUGGUAUGGGGCUGUGAUUUCAGCUACUCGGGAGGCUGAGGCAGGAGAAUCGUUUGAACCCAGGAGGCUGAGGUUGCAGUGAGCCAAGAUCGCACCACUGCACUUCAGCCUGGGCGACAGAGCAAGACUCCAUCUCAAAAAAAAAAAAAAAAAAAAAAAAAAAAAAAUUACAGAUAUCAACUCUUGGAUACACCACACUCAAGUCAAGUCCUGAAGAGCUGAGGGAGCAACCCCUUACAAGCCCAGAGGAAUGUCCUGAAUAUCAGUGUGAAGAAAUAGAAAAUCUUAAGCUGAAAAUCAUAAAAGAUAAGUAACUUAGGGCUACUCAUCUUGCUCACUACUACGUCAUUGGACACUUUUUGUCAUUUCUAUUUUUCCUCUCCAAGUUUGCCGCCAACUAUUAAAACUUCUCUUUUAACACAUAUUUACAAGAAAAUUUUAAUUAUUCAUAGGAUUGCAUUUGUAACUUCAUAGAACCCCAAAGGGAAAUUCUAUACCUUGGCAAAUAAAAUUUAUAAAUAAAAAUUACUACAUCACUCUUGUGGGAGUUGCUAAAUUCACUCUACUAUUUGUAGUAGAACUAUACACUAUGGAACUCACAGUGUGGAAUUCUAGUUGUAAAAUUCUAAUUGCCAUAAUACUUUGCCUAAUUAUCAUCUUUAUAAGAGGAAUAAUAAUUGAAUAAUUGUAGAAAAAAUUUAGUCAAGGUUGCUUUGCUUAAUUAUUAUCCCUAUAGCAGGGGUAAUAGUUACAGACAAGAAGUAAGCAUGAAAGUUAUACUAUCACUGAGCUUGACAGGACUUUUUAUUAAAGAUUGGCAAUAUGGUGCACUCCAAGCUAUGGAAAGAAGGUUAUAAAAGAGAUUUUAUAAGCAAGGCUUUUAUGGUAAAUUCUUGUCCUAAAAAGACUGGUUGUUUAAAGGAAGGAUAUUUAGGACAAGUCAGAAAGUUUAAGAAUGUUGUAAGAUAAUCUGUGGAAGUCAUGAAAGAACUUAAUAAAGGAAAGAAAUGGCCAAGAUUAACACUUAAGUUACUUUAGCCACUGAAUAAUGUAUUUCUCUUAAUCAUAUCACAAGUUAUAAAAAAUUGCCCGAACCUAAAAUUAUCUCCUGACGGCAAGCCAAGGGGAUAAAUGUAUGUGUUUCUCAAAGAAAAAUGUUACUUUUACAGUAACGUUUCUGGUAGUCUACAGCGACAUCUAGUGGACAUCUACCUGUAUUACAACUAAUUGAAAUAGUAACAGGUAUCAAACUCUGCUGUCAUAGUUAUGGCCUAUAGUACUCUCACUAAUAAUAAUAAUCUUAAUACUCAUGUUAAAACCCUAUAUUCUAAAACUUCUUGUAAAAUUUAUCUUUUUACCUAGAAAAAAACUCCAAAUGGCGCUGCAAACAGAACCACCCAUAGACAUGCCAUUCUUCCGAGAACACUUAAAUAAACCUCAGGAGGAGCCCCAGCUGUUGAUCCCCCACACGACACCCCUUUUCAGCAGGAAGUAGCCAGAAAUAUUCGUCGUCCAACACCCCCAACAGCAGUUAGAAUACUAUCUUCUGAGGGGUGAAUAACAUAGGAGUUUAAAAAAAUAUAUUUUAGGCAGUUAGCAAGGGUAAAAGAGUUCUCGGUGGAAUUUUCCUUCAAUGAAAAGCAGCCAAAAAAC